AGAGUUUGAUCAUGGCUCAGGAUGAACGCUGGCGGCGUGCUUAACACAUGCAAGUCGAACGGAGGACCCUUGACGGAGUUUUCGGACAACAGAUAGGAAUCCUUAGUGGCGGACGGGUGAGUAACGCGUGAGGAACCUGCCUUGGAGAGGGGAAUAACACAGAGAAAUUUGUGCUAAUACCGCAUGACGCAGUUGGGUCGCAUGGCUCUGACUGCCAAAGAUUUAUCGCUCUGAGAUGGCCUCGCGUCUGAUUAGCUAGUUGGCGGGGUAACGGCCCACCAAGGCGACGAUCAGUAGCCGGACUGAGAGGUUGGCCGGCCACAUUGGGACUGAGACACGGCCCAGACUCCUACGGGAGGCAGCAGUGGGGAAUAUUGGGCAAUGGGCGCAAGCCUGACCCAGCAACGCCGCGUGAAGGAAGAAGGCUUUCGGGUUGUAAACUUCUUUUAUGUAGGACGAAACAAAUGACGGUACUACAUGAAUAAGCUCCGGCUAACUACGUGCCAGCAGCCGCGGUAAUACGUAGGGAGCAAGCGUUAUCCGGAUUUACUGGGUGUAAAGGGCGUGUAGGCGGGAAAGCAAGUCAGAUGUGAAAACUAUGGGCUCAACCCAUAGCCUGCAUUUGAAACUGUUUUUCUUGAGUACUGGAGAGGCAGGCGGAAUUCCGUGUGUAGCGGGUGAAAUGCGUAGAUAUACGGAGGAACACCAGUGGCGAAGGCGGCCUGCUGGACAGCAACUGACGCUAAGGCGCGAAAGCGUGGGGAGCAAACAGGAUUAGAUACCCUGGUAGUCCACGCUGUAAACGAUCGAUACUAGGKGUGGGGGGACUGACCCCCUCCGUGCCGCAGCAAACGCAAUAAGUAUCGCACCUGGGGAGUACGAUCGCAAGGUUGAAACUCAAAGGAAUUGACGGGGGCCCGCACAAGCGGUGGAGUAUGUGGUUUAAUUCGAAGCAACGCGAAAAACCUUACCAGGGCUUGACAUCCCUCUGAAAGAUCUCUUAACCGAGAUCCCCCUUCGGGCAGAGGUGACAGGUGGUGCAUGGUUGUCGUCAGCUCGUGUCGUGAGAUGUUGGGUUAAGUGCCGCAACGAGCGCAACCCUUGUCGUCAGUUACUAACAUUUGGUUGAGGACUCUGGCGAGACUGCCGAGGUUAACUCGGAGGAAGGUGGGGAUGACGUCAAAUCAUCAUGCCCCUUAUGUUCUGGGCUACACACGUGCUACAAUGGUCGGUACAAUGAGAAGCAGAGUCGCGAGGCGGAGCAAAUCACCAAAACCGAUCCCAGUUCGGAUUGCAGGCUGCAACUCGCCUGCAUGAAGUCGGAGUUGCUAGUAAUCGCGAGUCAGCAUGUCGCGGUGAAUGCGUUCCCGGGUCUUGUACACACCGCCCGUCACACCAUGGAAGUUGGGGGCGCCCAAAGUUGGCUAAUUAAUCUGCUACCUAAGGCGAAACCAAUGACUGGGGUGAAGUCGUAACAAGGUAACCGUA
rnacentral:rRNA from 1 species